rnacentral:misc_RNA from 1 species
UUAAGUUCAGCGGGUAUCCCUACCUGAUCCGAGGUCAACCUGGUUAGAAAGAAGGUUGGGGGUCGACGGGCGCCGGCCGGGCCUCCAGAGCGGGUGACAGAGCCCCAUACGCUCGAGGACCGGACGCGGUGCCGCCGCUGCCUUUCGGGCCCGUCCCCCGGGGGGGAGGGACGGCGGCCCAACACACAAGCCGCGCUUGA